AUGCAAGAUUAUCUACCAAAGGCACAACAUAGAAUGUGUGCUAGACACAUCUAUGCUAAUUGGAGAAAGAAAUACAGAGAGCAUGCUCUACAAAAGAAGUUUUGGGCAAUUGCAAAGGCUGCAAACAGAGAAGACUUCAUGUACAGAAAAGCUAAGUUAGCUCAGGACACACCUGAAGGAGCAAGGGAUAUAAUGAGAACAGAGCCUAAGCAUUGGGCCAGAGCUUUUUUCCCUAUUGGAUCUCUUUGUGACUCGGUGGACAAUAACUUAUGUGAAUCUUUUAACAAUGCAAUCAUUGAGGCCAGAUUCUAUCCUGUCAUCUCUAUGUUGGAAAAGGUUAGGCACAAAGUUACACAAAGAGUUCAAGAAAAUAGGACAAAAUCUGAGAAGUGGAAUUCUAGUCCAAUUUGCCCAAACAUCUUCAAAAAGCUAAAGGUGAAUAUCAAAUUGACACAAUUUUGUGAUGUUCUCUGGAAUGUAAAAGAAGGCUUUGAGGUAAAACAUGUCAGUGGUAGAGGGAGGAGCUACACUGUCAAUUUGGAUAAGAGGACAUGCUCUUGUGGUUACUUGCAGCUGGCAGGGCUACCUUGCUGUCAUGCUAUCGGUGCCAUAUACAAGAGUGGUAGAACUAUAGAAGAAUUCAUUCACAAGUGUUAUUCAGUUCAACAGUUCAAGAAAAUAUAUGAGCACUGCUUGGAGCCAGUUGAAGGUCAGGAAAGGUGGCCUGUUUCUGAGAAACCAAGACCACAAGCUCCAGGUUAUGUGAGCAUGCCAGGUAGACCCAGGAAAAAUGACAGGAGGAGGGAGGAGGGAGAAGCACCAAAAGGCAGAAAGUUGUCAAAGCAUGGCAUUCAGAUUACCUGUAGCUUGUGUGGCCACAAAGGACACAAUAAGACAGGUUGCAACAAAAAUCCUGAAAAGGGGAAGAAAAAGAAUGCAUUCCUAAAGAAAUCUGGGAGGAAAAUCAAAGCCUCUGAACAAGCUAAAACUGAUGCUCAGAUCAGAGCAAGCCACAUGGCUCAAAGCAAAGGAAAAGAACAAGCCCAAGCAGGAAUAAGUGGAGGGAAGAGGAAGGCUACCAAAAAACAGAAUGCGCAAGCCAAGAAAAAAUCAAAGAACUGA
rnacentral:rRNA from 1 species